AGUUCCAAACUCCUGAUGCUCUAUGCAAGAUAUUUGAAUGUCGGAAGGUAUUUUAGGCAUCAAGUUCCACGGAUUCGCUUGAUCCGAGCUUGAUUUGCUUCUGUCAUGCGGUUUCCGUCUGUGAGGUGCAUCGAACAUCACGGCUUGUCGUGGGUCUGACCACGGUCUCCGUUCCUACCGGCUCUUUCCGGCAAAACGGUGCAGAGAAACACACAAUCUUGGCUUAGAAGUCAUCGUUCUUUUUGUUGACGAUGUGACGUAAUUGUUUUUACGUUUACCCUUUUUUGGAGCGAACGAGGCUCAUUGUGUUUCAGAUGACGACAAUGUCUGCUUCGACUUUACCGUGCCGAAGAAAGUGCCGACAUAUGCGUUUCUACGCGCAACUGUUCGUUCUGGAUUAUUUUGGUCGACACAGCAGUUUAAGCUUCGUCUGCUGCCCUACACGCUGGUGACGCUGGUUCAGACCGACAAGUCCAAGUACAAGGCCGGCGAUCUGGUGCAGUUCCGCGUGGUGACGCUCAAGAGUGAUCUCACUGCCAUGGAGGAGGUGGUGGACCAGAUCUUCAUCACAACACCAGGCGGUACAAGACUGGCGCAGUUCGACAAGGUCGCCACGCGGUCCGGCAUCAUUCAGAAGAAGUUCCAGCUGACAGAAGAGCCUCCCCUUGGCAGAUGGACCAUCCACGUAAAAAGGAGGGACAGAAUCGUGAGACAGCCGUUCGAGG